rnacentral:rRNA from 1 species
CGUAGGACAUUGAUCGUUGAACAAACGAACCGUUGGCAGCGGGUGCACCGCCUGGGUGUCCUGAUCCAACAUCGAGGUCGUAAGCCCCUCUGGCGAUAUGGACUCUUGAGAGGGAUGGCGCUGUUAUCCCUGGGGUAACUUGGUUCGAUUCUCAGUGUUACUGGGUCAAUGUGGGUUGUUUGGCUUGUGGGCCAUGCAGUGGAGGGUUAGUCCGGGUUCAUGGAGGUUUUGUUUUUCUCCGCAGUCGCCCCAACUUAAAGCCUGGGACUAAUGGCAGCGGGGUGUGCCUGGGUAGGCGGAUGGGUUCUUGUUAGUCGUGGGCUUAAAGCUCCACAGGGUCUUUUCGUCUUGUGGGUUGAUUUCAGCUUUUGUACUGAAAGAUCAGUUUCAUUGGUUAGUCACAGGAGACAGUUGGACCCUCGGGUGGCCGUUCAUACAGGUCUCUAUUUAGGAGACAAGUGAUUACGCUACCUUUGCACGGUUAUGAUACCGCGGCCGUUAAAU